rnacentral:RNase_P_RNA from 1 species
ACCGCAGACCGCCUUAUCGUCGUUUUGAGCAAUCAAGAGGGAGGAAAGUCCGGACACCAAAGGGAAGCAUAGCGGGUAACACCCGUCGGUCUCGUCUUUACGGACGAGAUUAGGACAAGUGCAACAGAAAGUAUGUACAGGUAAUGCUGUAGUGAAACCAGGUAAACUCUAUGCGGUGAAAUAUCAAGUAUAUCAGCAUUUAAGGGCUUCUCGUCCGUUGUUGAAGGGUAGAUAGUUUGAGUCCCGCAGUAAUGCGGGAUCUAGAUAAAUGAUAAGGCUCCGAUUUAUCGGGGACAGAAUCCGGCUUAUAGGUCUGCAUUUUUU